rnacentral:rRNA from 1 species
GACGAACGCUGGCGGCGUGCUUAACACAUGCAAGUCGAACGGAAAGGCCCUACUUUUGUGGGGUGCUCGAGUGGCGAACGGGUGAGUAACACGUGAGUAACCUGCCCUUGACUUUGGGAUAACUUCAGGAAACUGGGGCUAAUACCGGAUAGGAGCUCCUGCUGCAUGGUGGGGGUUGGAAAGUUUCGGCGGUUGGGGAUGGACUCGCGGCUUAUCAGCUUGUUGGUGGGGUAGUGGCUUACCAAGGCUUUGACGGGUAGCCGGCCUGAGAGGGAGACCGGCCACAUUGGGCCUGAGAUACGGCCCAGACGCCUACGUGAGGCAGCAGUGGGGAAUAUUGCACAAUGGGCGGAAGCCUGAUGCAGCAACGCCGCGUGCGGGAUGACGGCCUUCGGGUUGUAAACCGCUUUCGCCUGUGACGAAGCGUGAGUGACGGUAAUGGGUAAAGAAGCACCGGCUAACUACGUG